rnacentral:lncRNA from 1 species
AGCCAGCAAACUGCCUUGGAGCAGCCCCUCGUCCACUCUGAACCUUGCCUCCCUCCCCUGUGAAACAGGACAGCGACUACGUUCCCAGCCAGAGAGCCAGGAGCGAAGGAGACAGCCCAGGUGAAAUAUGCGGCUCUGUGCCUGGCGUACAGAAAACCUGCAAAUGCUCCUUCCAGACUUGACACCUCUCAAGGCCGCCCCCGCCCGUGCCCGGCCCCUGCUGUGCUGCAGCCAUCUUUUCUCAGAGCCAUUCUGCAGGGGUUGGAGUCACUGCAUGCCGCGCAGCCUCCCUGGGGCUGGGCUUGGUGUGCAGUGGCCAGUGCCACCCCGAGGCAGGGCCUGUGAACCUCUUUGCUCCCCUCCACCCCCGGGCUGAGCAGGUGACUGGAGCCGCCUGGGAAGGACCCAGGUGCUGGGCUGGGCAGGGCCGGGGGCUGAGGUGAUGAAUGGGUGGCACAGGGUGUCUGGCUGCCGCCUGCCUCCUCCGUGCCUCUCCUGGGAUCCAAACACAGCGUGAAAUCAGCACAGGGCUCUGACCAACUGGAGGGCCUCAGGAUCCUCAGCUGCAGCCUGAUGAGUGUGUUGUCGUUCCUACCUUAUUCCGCUACAGAAAGAUCAAUGAGUUCAUGCGGUUAAAGAACUUAGAGUUUGGGAGGCUGAGGUGGAUGGAUCACUUGAGGUCAGGAGUUGGAGACCAGCCUGGCCAACAUGGUGAAACCCCCGUCUCUACUAAAAAUACAAAAACUAGCUGGGCGUGGUGGCGGGCGCCUGUAGUCCCAGCUACUCGGGAGGCUGAGGCAGGAGAAUCGCUCGAACUCGGGAGGUGGAGGUUGCAGUGAGCCAGGAUUGCACCACUGCACUCCAGCCUGGACAACAGAGCAAGAUUCUGUCUCUAAACAAAUAAAUAAAUAAAUAAGAACUUAGCACAGGGUCAUGGCGCAUCGGAGCAAUCACUCACUGCUGGUCUCCCAAAGACACAGAAGACCUUCCCCAGCUGCUGGGGGUCAAACACGGAACAGGCAGUGCAGUGACCACACGGCGGACUUGCUGUGGCCACCGAUGCAAGACGGGUCCUCGCCCGGCCACAGUGAGCGCAGGGCCAGUGCCGCCGGGGGGAACCUGAGGCUGGCCGCACCGGAGACUCGAAGAGGAGGACAGCUGACUGCAGCCCCCGCCGUCUGCACCCCAGCCCUCCCCGCUCCCCAGGGCUGCAGCCCCCGCCGUCUGCACCCC